rnacentral:rRNA from 1 species
CUUGCAUCGAAGAUGAUUUUAACUAUAAAGUGAGUGGCGAACGGGUGAGUAACACGUGGGUAACCUGCCCAGAAGUGGGGGAUAACACCUGGAAACAGAUGCUAAUACCGCAUAACAAAAUUAACCGCAUGGUUGAUUUUUAAAAGAUGGCUUCGGCUAUCACUUCUGGAUGGACCCGCGGCGUAUUAGCUAGUUGGUGAGAUAAAGGCUCACCAAGGCAGUGAUACGUAGCCGACCUGAGAGGGUAAUCGGCCACAUUGGGACUGAGACACGGCCCAGACUCCUACGGGAGGCAGCAGUAGGGAAUCUUCCACAAUGGACGCAAGUCUGAUGGAGCAACGCCGCGUGAGUGAUGAAGGCUUUCGGGUCGUAAAACUCUGUUGUUGGAGAAGAACGUGUGUGAGAGUAACUGCUCAUGCAGUGACGGUAUCCAACCAGAAAGCCACGGCUAACUACGUGCCAGCAGCCGCGGUAAUACGUAGGUGGCAAGCGUUAUCCGGAUUUAUUGGGCGUAAAGCGAGCGCAGGCGGUCUUUUAAGUCUAAUGUGAAAGCCUUCGGCUUAACCGAAGAAGUGCAUUGGAAACUGGGAGACUUGAGUGCAGAAGAGGAGAGUGGAACUCCAUGUGUAGCGGUGAAAUGCGUAGAUAUAUGGAAGAACACCAGUGGCGAAGGCGGCUCUCUGGUCUGCAACUGACGCUGAGGCUCGAAAGCAUGGGUAGCGAACAGGAUUAGAUACCCUGGUAGUCCAUGCCGUAAACGAUGAAUGCUAAGUGUUGGAGGGUUUCCGCCCUUCAGUGCUGCAGCUAACGCAUUAAGCAUUCCGCCUGGGGAGUACGACCGCAAGGUUGAAACUCAAAAGAAUUGACGGGGGCCCGCACAAGCGGUGGAGCAUGUGGUUUAAUUCGAAGCUACGCGAAGAACCUUACCAGGUCUUGACAUCUUCUGCUAACCUAAGAGAUUAGGCGUUCCCUUCGGGGACGGAAUGACAGGUGGUGCAUGGUUGUCGUCAGCUCCUGUCCUGAGAUGUUGGGUUAAGUCCCGCAACGAGCGCAACCCUUAUUAUUAGUUGCCAGCAUUAAGUUGGGCACUCUAGUGAGACUGCCGGUGACAAACCGGAAGAAGGUGGGGACAACUUCAAAUCAUCAUGCCCCUUAAGACCUGGGCUACCACCGUGCUACAAUGGACGGUACACCGAGUUGCGAAACCGCGAGGUUAACCUAAUCUCUUAAAACC